CCUACGGGUGGCAGCAGUGGGGAAUAUUGCACAAUGGGCGAAAGCCUGAUGCAGCAACGCCGCGUGAGGGAUGAAGGCUUUCGGGUUGUAAAGCUCUGUCCUCAAGGAAGCUAAUGACGGUAAUUGAGGAGGAAGCCCCGGCUAACUACGUGCCAGCAGCCGCGGUAAUACGUAGGGGGCUCGCGUUAUCCGGAUUUACUGGGGGUAAAGGGUGCGUAGGCGGUUUCUAAAGCCAGAGGUGAAAGGCGACGGUUAAACCGGAGUGAGCCUUUGAAACUGGGGGACUUGAGUGCAGGAGAGGAGAGUGGAAUUCCUGGGGUAGCGGUGAAAUGCGUAGAUAUCAGGAGGAACACCAGUGGCGAAGGCGGCUUUCUGGACUGUAACUGACGCUGAGGCACGAAAGCGUGGGGAGCAAACAGGAUUAGAUACCCCAGUAGUC
rnacentral:rRNA from 1 species